AGCUGCGUCUGUAAUCAGAUGGAGAAAAACAAAAGCGAACAAAACACAGACGGAUGAAGAUACUGUAGAUCAUGAAGUUUCCUAUGCCACCAUCAGUUACAGAAAGAAAACCAAGAAUAAAGCCCAG